GACGAACGCUGGCGGCGUGCUUUACACAUGCAAGUCGAACGGUAAGGCCCUUCGGGGUACACGAGUGGCGAACGGGUGAGUAACACGUGGGUGAUCUGCCCUGCACUUCGGGAUAAGCCUGGGAAACUGGGUCUAAUACCGGAUAGGACUCCGGACUGCAUGGUCUGGGGUGGAAAGCUUUUGCGGUGUGGGAUGGGCCCGCGGCCUAUCAGCUUGUUGGUGGGGUGAUGGCCUACCAAGGCGACGACGGGUAGCCGGCCUGAGAGGGUGACCGGCCACACGGGGACUGAGAUACGGCCCAGACUCCUACGGGAGGCAGCAGUGGGGAAUAUUGCACAAUGGGCGCAAGCCUGAUGCAGCGACGCCGCGUGAGGGAAGACGGCCUUCGGGUUGUAAACCUCCUUCAGCAUCGACGAAACGAAAGUGACGGUAGGUGCAGAAGAAGGACCGGCCAACUACGUGCCAGCCGCCGCGGUAA
rnacentral:rRNA from 1 species